UGUCAUCUAUUGGGGUAGAGCUGGUUGACAACGAGUUGGCCAUUCUCUAUAUGAACAGCAAGAAGUCAGAGCAGAGUUCCGGGAUUAUCCUCCAGUGCUGAGACAGGCCGUCUCCCUGGCCCGGCGCAUCCAGGACCCUCUGAUUGAAUUUGCCCAGGUGUGCAGUUCCGAUGAAGACAUCCUGUGUCUCAAGUUUCACCCCUUGCAGAGCAUGUGGUGAAAGAGGAGCUGCUCAACGCCUUGUACUGUGAAUUUAUCAACCGAGUCAAUGAGGUCGGGGUCGAUGUCAACCGUGCCAUUGCCCACCCUUACAGCCAGGCCUUGAUCCAGUAUGUUUGUGGCCUGGGACCU
rnacentral:lncRNA from 1 species